UUUCCUUUCAUAAAUUCAUAUGCACCGGUAAAGACAUUAAUUUCCUUCAGUGACUCUAUUCAUGGGCUAAACAUAUUAUUUCAGCGACGAAUUUUCUCUUCAAGCCCGAUUUUCCCUUAAGAUUUGAAGGUAGGAUAACACGUGCAAGUUGAAUUAUCCUUUCAAUAUCAUGUAUUUUACGUAACUUUAUGUAUUAAAUCCUAAUUGAUCCAAGGGUCAUCAAUGAAAUGAAAUGUGAAAUUUCCUUCAAGUUUCUCGAAUGCAUGAAUAAGUAAGAGUAUUCAAUUAUUUUCAGUGAAAUAAUAGUAUGGAAUGUUGUAAUUUACAAGAAGAAUGUCACAAGGGUGGAGAAUGUCAACUGGGACAAGGAGUGUUACAAGUGUGGCAAACCAAGGCAUUUGAUGACAGAUUGUCCAUCAAAAUUAAGUAACACCGUACCAACAAGAGUUUUUGCAUUGAUCGGAGCAGUAUUAGGAGCAUAAAAUAAUGACGUGGUGUCAGGUACACUUUUAGUCGAUGAAAAACCUACCAUUGGUUUCUUUGAUUCGGGUGCAAUGCAUUCAUUUUUGGAUACCAAUUUCUGCAUAAAUAUGAGUUUCAACCAAUUCCUAUGAAAUCUGAAUUUGAAGUCACCAUGCCUUCAGGAUUUAAUUGAUCCUAGAAAUUCUAAUACUAAUAGGAUUUGUUGCUCUUAGAGCAAAUUUAGUACCAGUAACUCUUCAAAUCUUUAAUAUAAUCCUUGGAGUGGAUGGACUUUCAAAAUAUCAAGUUGUCAUGAAUUGUCAAAAAGAAACAAUGAAAUUUAUUAGGACAUCAAAUUUUAACUUUCCCUCAAAUUCUUCAUCUCUAGUUUAUUUAAGUCAAGUUCAAAUCACAAAACUUAGGUCACUAGAAGAAAUUCUUAUGUAUUUUAUAAUAAGCAAAUUCUAGACCCUUUAUGUAAUGGCCUGGGUCUCAUGCCAGACCAUUCUUUUACGUGUUUUUCUAUUUUGGGAGAAUUUAAACUUAUUUUACC
rnacentral:lncRNA from 1 species